CUCAAAGCAGGCAAUGAAAUCAUCCACUGAAGCAUGUGUGGUCCACGGUGGAGCUGGUGUUUGAAUCUUCCGCUGCCUUUCCUCAGGCUGUGCCUUUAUUGCUUCCGCUCACACCUGGAAUAGGAUUUGAGUGGAAAUGUGAUUGGAGUAGAAGGCAUCAGGGAGGGAGCCUGAGCUGAGACCACAUCUUGAAAACACAGAAUUGAGGGAGCAGAUGGAAGAAAGAAAGUCAGCAGGCUUGGAGGAUGAUGAUAACCCAAAGAAGAUUAAGGUGCUGGUGGAGGAGCUGGAUGACCUGUCCUGACCCACGACCCUGAACCUCAGCCAGAUUGCAGCCUCUCAGAACCAAUGCUUGGACUCCAUGUUGGCUCCAAGCCCUCAACACUGCCAAAGUCUCCAGAGGAAACAGCUGGUGUCACAGCUACUGACUGUGUCCUGGCCAGCUGGAGAAAUAAAGAGAUUUCAGGUAUACAUCAUUAUAACUUGACUUCUG
rnacentral:lncRNA from 1 species